AAAAUAUUAACAUGCAAAAUAAAUGUUGAUUCAAUUGACAAGUGAAAACAUUGGAUGGAUGGAUGUUGUUGGGUACUAAAAAUUUCAUCUAUUCCACUCUCUCUUACAUACUACUCCUUGAUUAUUAGAUUGAUUCAAUUGUUAUNCGACUUUCUUAGCCUCCCCUUAACCCGAUCCCUCGGCAAAAAGGGCCUAAUAUCAAUUACCGGCUUGCUAUCCCUAGCCUCCCCUAGUAAUUAAUACCG
rnacentral:lncRNA from 1 species